AUUAAUUACUGUGGAGAUUUGUUUUAUCUCUUCUUAUUUAUUCACAGGGAAAACCCAUUUUGUAAUUCAAGCUUUUCAAUAAGAAAACUUCGAUUAAUAUUCUCAAUUUUGUCUUUUUACUUAACCUGAAACCCUGAAUCUUAAAUCGAAAACCCAUGUUUCUGAAACCCUAAAUCUUAAAUCUAAAACCCCUAAUUCAUUAUAUGAAGGAGUUAACGAAUGUCUAGAGAGUCUUUAGAAGAGCAGAUUUAGAUCAGGAUGUCACAUUUAGUCACAAGAACUGCCACCACCUCAGCAUACAACCAGUGGUGGUACUGGUGGGGUUGGUUAUGUUAAUACCAUUAACAACAUCUUCUCCUUCUAUCCUUACAGAUGGAAACAAAUAUAGCUUAUUAUGUUGGUGCAAUGCAGAGACGGGGUUGUUUGAAAGCAGCUAACUCAUAUUGUUCAUCUUGUUGAGGUUAAUGAACUUGUUUCUGACAUGUAAUGCCACAUGAAGUGACCUUCAUAUUCACAAACGAUGAGUCCCUAUUUCCCUAACAAAGCCUCCUACAUCGAUUAUAUUGUUUGGAUGAAUCUGCUUUUUUAUCUGUAUGGUUAAACACAUUGAGUUUCUGUAUUUGCGUUAGAUCUUAUAAAUGAUUUCAGUGCUACAGAUACUGCGACCAACUGUUACACAUUCAGAUAAGCAAGAUGGGAAACUGAAGGAUGAGGAUGGGAAACUAUGCUGCAUACUUGUUUUAUCAAGCAAAUAAAAUUUCUUGAUUGCUGAUGCUGACAGUAGUUUAUUGGUUGCUUUGUUGAUGUUAGGUAACAAGAAUUCAAGGAGGAAAUCAAGAAGGAGAAUUUGUUAGAGUGAGGUUAGCCGGGGUAUUGUUCAAAUCCAUUGUCCGGAAGAUGUGCUAGAUGCGCUAUGCUAUUAUAGUGUUCAAAUCACCACAGUGUAUGAUGGCUGCUAGUGGUGCUUAUGUCAUGUUUUCAAAUUUUUGGUGCAACUAUGUUGAUAAUAUUCAAUGUGUGAGAAUUUAUUUUUAUGUUUCCAGAUUUAUAUGUACAUACGCAAGAGUCAAAUUGUUUUGUAACAUUUGAUGAGAUCUUAUUUGAAAUGUGUCGUUGAA